UACGUAGGGUGCAAGCGUUGUCCGGAAUUAUUGGGCGUAAAGAGCUCGUAGGCGGUUUGUCGCGUCGACUGUGAAAACCCGAGGCUUAACCUCGGGCCUGCAGUCGAUACGGGCAGACUAGAGUUCGGUAGGGGAGACUGGAAUUCCUGGUGUAGCGGUGAAAUGCGCAGAUAUCAGGAGGAACACCGGUGGCGAAGGCGGGUCUCUGGGCCGUAACUGACGCUGAGGAGCGAAAGCGUGGGGAGCGAACAGG
rnacentral:rRNA from 1 species